AAAAUAGGCAGAAAAAAUCUUUGAAAGUCUUUGAAUAUUUUUUGUCUUGGAGACUACGAACCCUGAGUAAAUAAACUGACUAUGAUUGUCCAGGGUUCGAAAUAGCUUCCGGCGAUAGCCGGCAGUUUUAGGACCUUGCCGGCGAUUUUUAAUUUCAAAGCAUAGAGGAUCGGCGAAAAUAUUAUAUUUAUUCAUCGAUGACUCGCUUACAAUAA
rnacentral:lncRNA from 1 species